GUUUACCGCUAGCGCUAUCCCAUAACGAGGACCACCGGAGCUUCCUCUUCACGUGUCUGACUCGUUUAUUGAAGUAUUCCCCUUCUUCAGAUGUCCUUGAACAGAACCCCCUCGGCUCUGCGGAUCCCUGCUGCCACUGGAGAACAUUUGACAAGCAGCAGGCUCUUGUUAGAGCGCUGUCAAAUUAAAGAUCACCUUCUGAAUCUUGUUCCAAGUAUUCCCACAGUAUGUUGCUGCCACCGGAAUAGCCGUCUUCAUGAGACGUUCACACGACAACA